GACGAACGCUGGCGGCGUGCUUAACACAUGCAAGUCGAACGGAAAGGCCCUGCUUUUGUGGGUUGCUCGAGUGGCGAACGGGUGAGUAACACGUGAGUAACCUGCCCUUGACUUUGGGAUAACUUCAGGAAACUGGGGCUAAUACCGGAUAGGAUCUCCUGCUGCAUGGUGGUGGUUGGAAAGUUUCGGCGGUUGGGGAUGGACUCGCGGCUUAUCAGCUUGUUGGUGGGGUAGUGGCUUACCAAGGCUUUGACGGGUAGCCGGCCUGGGAGGGUGACCGGCCACAUUGGGACUGAGAUACGGACCAGCAUCCUACGGGAGGCAGCAGUGGGGAAUAUUGCACAAUGGGCGGAAGCCUGAUGCAGAAACGCCGCGUGCGGGAUGACGGCCUUCGGGUUGUAAACAGCUUUCGCCUGUGACGAAGCGUGAGUGACGGUAAUGGGUAAAGAAGCACCGGCUAACUACGUG
rnacentral:rRNA from 1 species